rnacentral:ncRNA from 1 species
AAUAUCGUGAGGUAUUGGCUGGAGGAAGCCCAACGCAAAUUCACGGGAUGAUGAACAAGAACUGGAUAUGAGGUGUGACGUAGGCGGAGCCAGUGGGCACGUGACCAUAAAGCUCUCCAUCCACAACUGGCCUGCGUUUUAUAAAUCCAGCAUCUACGUGAAGAAAGUUAAAUGU